UGGGGAAUAUUGCACAAUGGGCGAAAGCCUGAUCCAGCCAUGCCGCGUGUGUGAAGAAGGUCUUCGGAUUGUAAAGCACUUUAAGUUGGGAGGAAGGGCAUUAACCUAAUACGUUAGUGUUUUGACGUUACCGGCAGAAUAAGCACCGGCUAACUUCGUGCCAGCAGCCGCGGUAAUACGAAGGGUGCAAGCGUUAAUCGGAAUUACUGGGCGUAAAGCGCGCGUAGGUGGUUCGUUAAGUUGGAUGUGAAAGCCCCGGGCUCAACCUGGGAACUGCAUCCAAAACUGGCGAGCUAGAGUACGGUAGAGGGUGGUGGAAUUUCCUGUGUAGCGGUGAAAUGCGUAGAUAUAGGAAGGAACACCAGUGGCGAAGGCGACCACCUGGACUGAUACUGACACUGAGGUGCGAAGGCGUGGGGAGCAAACA
rnacentral:rRNA from 1 species